ensembl:lncRNA
GCAAGACUCUAUGGACCCCCAUGGCUGGGCCUCGGGGGAGGUGAGGACAGGCUUCCAAAAGGAGAGGAUGCUUAUUGCUGCCUCAUGAAGGAUGGGUAAGAGUUAGGGAGGCAAAAGUCGGGAGGGACUAGCAGAGGAAAGCUCAUGUGUAAAAGGACAGAGGUACCAUUUAUUCAGUAAGUAUUUACUGAACACCUAAUGUGGAUCAGGCACAGUUCUAGGCACAGGGAAUACAGCAAUGAACCAAAGCCGAAAAUCGGUGCCCUCAUGGAGCUUACAGUGUAGUGGUGGGGGCUGGGCACAGACCACAAGCAAACACAUCGGUAAUGUGUCAGAUGGUAACAAGUACUAUAAGCAGAGAGGAGAGAUAGAGAGUACUUGGGGGGGGGGGGCAUUGCAAUAUUAAAUAUGAGGAUCAAGAAAGGCCUCAAUGAGGAUAUGACCUUCCUCAAGCAAUGACCUGAAGAAUGUGGAGGAAGGAGCCAUGUGGGUAUCUGUGUUCCAAGCAAAGGCAGUGGCUCAUGCAAAGGCCCUGAGGCAGGAGCCUCUCUGGCAUGUUUAAGUUCAGCAGGAAGAUCAGCGGAGUGGAGGGGAAGAAUUGGACUGAAGUGGGAGCAGGAGCCAGACCAAGAAAAGUCUCGGAUGCCAUCGAGAGGAGGAUGGAUUUUCUUCUGAAGGUGACAGGUUAUUCUAUCAGCCACCAGGAAAAACCCAGAGAUCUUCUGUAAGACGUUGCCCCCACCUGAAGCGUGUGCUAUGUGCGCAGAAUGAACAGGUUGUUUCUGGGUGGCUGUGUCCAGUGCGUGCUGCUCCCAUUAAUCAGUACAAAUACUGGUCCUUUUUCGCCUGCAAGAUGUGUGCUUUGGAGAUGAGCUAACAAAGGCACAGAAGGGCUGAGCGACGCACUGAAAGUUGCACAGCUUGUAUGGGACAGUCAGGCCCAGCUCUGUCUGUCUGCAAAGCCCAUACUCUGCAGGCUGCUUUAGACUGAGGCUCCCAUAACACUCCCAGAAAGGAGAAUUCGAGCAUCCCGCUUCUCCUGUCUCCGCCCUCACACCUGCUCUGCCGAGGUACCUGAGGGGCUCAGAAGACCUGCACAGGGUCCCUGGGGUCUUAUCAGCAAAGGCGCAGCCAGAGUGAUGUGUCCUGGAAUAAGGGCUGGCGUUUCAUCGAGAACUUGCCCAAGAGACACUUUUGGGUGGUUAGGUGAGAGACUUAUUUAUGGGGCUGCCCGGGGCAUCCCAGACCUCUAUCCAGGGUGGAGGAAAGCCAGGCGUCAGCCUCAGACAGCAGGAGACUCAAGACACACGAUGGAAACCGCGCUGACACCUUCGCCUUCCCGCGCGCUUGGUUGCCUAGCAACCGAAAGUGACGAGCUGCCAACUCACUGAUGCGAUCGCAGUGGGGAGAUCAGAAUAUGAGAUCAAUUCAGGCUCUCUGACUCUGUGGGAUGCUUUCAAAGGCUUUACUGCUUUAUUACCUUCCCAAGACAGAGUAAAUGGCAUAUUGAACUAAGCCAGGAGAGCAAAAUAUAGGAUACAUAUGGCACCAUGUCCACUCCUUCAUCUGUGGCGGACAUUACUAAUCAAUCAUGGAGCUUAACCCAACUGUCCUGGCAAUCAUUAAUUAAUCAGAGCUGGCACGAGUAAUAAAACUUUUUGACAGAAGUGACAGCUUUGGGGGACGAUCACUUGAUAUUUUGCCCUGGAAAUUUUGACCUUUUCUUGAAAUUUCUUUGUAAAUGUAUCUGGUGGGUAUAUCAGAAAGACUGUGGACUGUCUGAUGCCAGAGUUAGCAUUUUAAAAAAUGAAUGAAUGCUCUACCAUAUCUGCAUAUCAAGCCCAUGGGAGACAUGACUGAUCCGUCCCACCAUAUUUUCUCAUCCAGUCUGAACUGAGCCUCAGAAUCUUCCUCACCACAACAUGCCAGACAACAACUUGAUAUGUAAGGUAAAACCUUUGAUCAUCCUUGAAAUACUGGGCUUUAACUUGAAUAACAUGCUCCUCCUUCAUCUGUGCAACUUUCAUCCUUAAAAUCCAGAGUGACCCAUUUCCUCUGAAGUAAAAAUGAGGACAUAUUCUUAUAGGUAUGUGAAGAAUUGACUCCUUUUCUCCUUAAGUAAUAUUCUGGAAAGGGAUAUUAAGUAACUGUGCUGGAAAGAAAAUCUUCCUCCUGUACUAGAAACAACCAAAGACAGCAAAAUCUAAUUUCCAAGCAUGAAAUUCAAAAAAAAGAACAAAAUGCAAUUCAGCAGAGAAAAAAAAAAAUGCAUGCUGUCACUUCUCAGUGGUGAGGACGAUAAUCUGAAACAGAUAUUAAAAGGGCAUAAGACAUCUGAACAUGAGAAUUGCUGAAACCGAGUGAGAAGCAUGCUGACUUGCUGGGGCUGAGUGAAAGUCCUUCUCCAGAGGAAGAAAAUAAAGGACAAAGAUGGACACGAAGAAGAUCAGAUCAUAGUUCAAGAAUGGGAAGACUGUGGCAAGGCUGGCUGAGCACUAGCCGAGGUGACCUUUCCAUUUUAGGUGAUUUUCAUAUAAGAACAUCCUGGACUGGCUUCCAGAACUUUAUUAGGUAAUAAAGGACAGGGGGAAGAAAGAAGG